GCGGUGGAGCAUGUGGUUUAAUUCGAUGAUACGCGAGGAACCUUACCUGGGCUCAAAUGUAUGUUGACGUAUUCUGAAAGGGAUACUUCUUCGGACAAUAUACAAGGUGCUGCAUGGUUGUCGUCAGCUCGUGCCGUGAGGUGUCGGGGUUAAGUCCCAUAACGAGCGCAACCCCUAUCAUUAGUUGCCAUCAGGUCAAGCUGGGGACUCUAAUGAAACUGCCUACGCAAGUAGUGAGGAAGGUGGGGAUGACGUCAAAUCAGCACGGCCCUUACGUCCAGGGCUACACACGUGCUACAAUGGCCGAUACAGAGGGCAGCUACCUGGUGACAGGAUGCAAAUCUCCAAAGUCGGUCUCAGUUCGGAUCGGAGUCUGCAACCCGACUCCGUGAAGUUGGAUUCGCUAGUAAUCGCGCAUCAGCCAUGGCGCGGUGAAUACGUUCCCGGGCCUU
rnacentral:rRNA from 1 species